ensembl:lncRNA
AGGGCCUAGCCCACAGAGGCUGCUCGUUGUGUUAGCUGAAGGAGUACUACUAUCAAAUCAAUAACAGAUAACUCACGUAGAACCUUUACUCUGUGCCAGAUAUGGUGUUACACACUUCUCAUGCAUUGAUUUCAUGCAACGGCCUCAGCAAACUGAUGUUCCAAGAGGAGUCCUGCCAUCUCUGCCUCGGCCUGCUUGAUGCGACUGUCUCCUUUGAGAGCCCUUGAAAAAGCCCCUUGCCCGUCAGAAGCUUUUCCUGUCAACAGCUUUUCUUUCCCAGCAUGGAACUCAUCGCAGGUAUUUUCCAAAAAAGAAAGCCCGGGGAAUCACAUUUCAGUCUGAAUGUGGAAAGAAAACAAAGCCCACGACUUAGAGCUAAGUCUGAAUGGCCCGGAGCCUCCCUCUCACCGAGUGGUUUACACAGUUGCCAAUCUGCGCCUGGUGACAGGCAUGGCAUGUUUGUCUUUGUUGCAGAAAACGCUUCCCCAAGGGAGUUCCAGGCAGAAGGCUAUCCACCCUGUGACAUGCACUGUUCAAGAGAGGUGCUUGCUCAGUCUCAGUCACUCUGUCAUAUCCAACUCUUUAUGACCUCAUGGACGAUGGCCCACCAGGCUCCACUGUUCGUGGGAUUUUUCAAGCAACAAAAUUGGAGUGGGUUGCCAUUUCCUCCUCCAAGGACUCUUACUGGACCAGGGAUCGAACCUGCAUCUUCUCCAUUGGAAUCCUGUGACAGUGUGAGAACCACAGAGCAGAGAAUCAGAGCCAGCUAAGGAUGGAGAAAGAGAAACAGAGCCCUGAAGACUUCAUCUGAGCCUCCCCUCUAGUGAUGCCUGUUAGUUCCAUGAACCCACGGAUUCUUUUUUCCCCUAAUCUAGUUUGAGUCAGAUUUUGAUCACCUACAAUGAGAGGGUUCUGACAGAGACUUAAGGGUUUGUUUUCCUCAUAAUAUUCAAUACCACCUUACAAAAUUAUUAAGGAAAAUGGAG